AUAAAAACUGUGAACAGAAGAGUAGAUAUGGUUUUUGAUUUUAAGCGAGUGGAAGAUGGUGAAAGUUCCAUAUGAUUGCUAUAUUGAAGAACAUCUGGGAGUUGCUAACCGAACCCUUAAUUGUUAGUAGGAUUAGACGGAUAAGGUCGUUAUAACCUUUUAAGUAUGGUAGUACUUAAGCUAAGUGGUCGAGAGACUAUUUGGGUGGCACCACGGAGAUAUCCCUUCGUCCCAUUG
rnacentral:ncRNA from 1 species